GCUAUUCGAGGUGAGAAAGGUUCCUCACACGCUACAUUAGUAGUCAAUAGAGAUGCAGGAUUGCCGACCUGCCGAAUAGC
rnacentral:ncRNA from 12 species